rnacentral:rRNA from 1 species
UAAUCACUUGUCUUUUAAAUGAAGACCCGUAUGAAUGGCAUCACGAGGGCUUUACUGUCUCCUUUUUCCAGUCAAUGAAAUUGAUCUCCCCGUGCAGAAGCGGGAAUAACAACAUAAGACGAGAAGACCCUGUGAAGCUUAAAGACGACAAGCAGACCAAACUAAGUACCUCCCAUAAAAGAACUAAAGCACCGGACCCUGCCCUAAUGUCUUCGGUUGGGGCGACCACGGAGAAACAAAAAACCCCCAUGUGGACUAGAAGCACCAUUACUUUCUUUUUCUCUCCUACAACCUAGAGUUACCUCUCAAAGUAACAGAACUUUUGACCAAACAUGAUCCGGCCACGCCGAUUAACGAACCAAGUUACUCCAGGGAUAACAGCGCUAUCCCCUUUUAGAGCCCA